rnacentral:rRNA from 1 species
UACAACAUAGAGUUAAUGCACCGGAUACCAUUAGAACUCCACAGUUAAGCGUGCUCAGGCUAGAGUAGUACUGGGAUGGGUGACCGCCCGAGAAGUCCUAGUGUUUUAC